CAUCAUCAAAAUACAAUCCAUACAAUCAACAGUUCAUUCAAAAGCGAAUCUUACACAAACACAUAAUAUUAAGGUUGCAUGAUUUGAAGUUCAUAUUAAAAAUAUAUAUACAUGGACAUGAGUUUGCAUUCUUAUACUACUAAUAGCCAUCACAAAUUUUAAACAAAAAGGAUCUAAUAAAAGUUAUACAUUCAGUACAUUGAUCCCUACAAAAUACAUUGUGAGUUAGAAUGCAUCUACUUAAUUCCUUGCAAAAGUAGGUUCCCGUGUAUCGGGUAUCCUAGACAUCUCGUUGGUGUGACGUCCCUGCAGCAGUACAAAACAUUUAAGAGAAAACAAAUACUUAAUAAUAAUAAUGGUAACUAACGGCCUAGCAAUUAAAUAAGCAUUAACAUUUAUAAUUUCUUCAUGUAUUUGAUGUAACAAUUAGUAGUACAUAUAGAUACACAAGUUUUCAAAUGCCAUUCGCCGAAACUAGUCGUUUAUUUGUCCCGGCUAUCCAUCCGGAUUCCAUAGCGAUAGCUGCGUCGCUGCCAAUCCUAAAAUCGACAGCCGAAACUACAUCGCUGCCGAUCAAGGAAUUGGCAGCGAAACUGGGUCGCUGCCGAUUUCUGUAUCGGCAGCGAAGACUGCAUCGCUGCCGAUCCAAAAUCGGCAGCGGAAACUGCGUCGCUGCCGAUUUCUGUAUCGGCAGCGGAAACUGCGUCGCUGCCGAUUUCUGUAUCGGCAGCGGAAACUAGGUCGCUGCCGAUUUCUGUAUCGGCAGCGAAUACUGUGUCGCUGCCGAUCCAGAAUCGGCAGCGGAACCAUCCCUUUUUAACCCGGCCAUCCAUUCGGACGCCAUUAGCCAAAGCUAAUCAUUCUUUGUCCCGACCAUCCGUUUGGAUGCCAUUAGCCGAAGCUAAUCACUCUUUUGUCCCGGCCAUCCAUUUGGAUGCCAUUAGCCGAAGCUAAUCACUCUUUUGUCCCGGCCAUCCAUUUGGAUGCCAUUAGCCGAAGCUAAUCACUCUUUGUCCCGACCAUCCGUUUGGAUGCCAUUAGCCGAAGCUAAUCAGUCCUUCAUCCCGGCCAUCCAUUCGGACGCCAUUAGCCAAAGCUAAUCAUUCUUUGUCCCGGCCAUCCGUUUGGAUGCCAUUAGCCGAAGCUAAUCACUCUUUUAUCAACAAUUAAGCGUUCGACAAUUUAAUAUCGGUUCUAACAAUAUGGUAGUACUCAAGUUAAAAUAUUCCAAGAUUCAACGUAUGAAAAAGAAAGGUGCAAGUCACCUACCUGCUCCACCUGUGGGUCGUUCCUGUCUUGAUGAUGGUCCAAUCCCGACCGCACCACCUAAGACAUCAAUGGUCACAAAUCAGCACAGUUGUAUUUAUUUUAUUUUUGAAUCACAUUCAUCAUCACACUUAUUUCAAUAGUUCAUAUGUUCACAUUCAAGUGUUCCCUAUUUUACACCAUCAUAUCAUGAAAUU
rnacentral:lncRNA from 1 species